UACGUAGGCAGCGAGCGUUGUUCGGAAUUACUGGGCGUAAAGAGUGUGUAGGCGGUGCUCUAAGUUCGGUGUGAAAUCUCUCGGCUUAACUGGGAGGGUGCGCCGGAAACUGGAGUGCUCGAACGUGGGAGAGGAAAGCGGAAUUCCUGGUGUAGCGGUGAAAUGCGUGGAUAUCAGGAGGAACACCUGCGGUGUAGACGGCUUUCUGGACCAUUGUUGACGCUGAGACACGAAAGCGUGGGUAGCAAACAGG
rnacentral:rRNA from 1 species